GAGGUGGUAUUUUAUUAAUGAGUGACUUUACCAUAGUUUUGUGAUUUUAUUUGAUCACCUUUCACACACUUUAUUUAAUUACCCAUACCAUUUGUUAUAUGCCUUAAAUGACUAAGUAUGGAUUUGAGAGAGUAGAGAAUUGAGAGUAUGAGAUGGAGAGUGUAGAGAUUAGAGAGAGAUUAGAGUGAGAGAUAGAUCAUCCAUUAAUUACUAAAUAUUCCCUAAGAUUUACAAAUCUCUUUAAAGAUACACAAGAUCAUCCAAAUCAAAUACAAUCUUGCAAAAGUUUCCUCUCUCUUCUCCACCCCAUUUUCGAUCACUCUCUCUCUCCCCUUCAUCUCUCUACUUUCCUCCAUUGUUAGCCAUUGAUGAAACCUUCGAAGCUUCACCCAAGUAUGCCAAACACAUAAAUCACUACUUAAAUCCUCCAUAAACACAUCCUAUUAACUUGAAUUCAAGAGAAUCCUUGAAGGAAGGCUUCAAGACUAGAGAGAGAAAGUUGAGUUUUGGUGAAGAACUUGAACACGAGCAGAGCAAGGAAGUAAGUAACUCCACUUUGACGGGAGUUUUUGAGUAAGGUCUUCAGGCUAAGCGAGGAGCGAGAUUGGUCUGGUGCUGGUGGGGAAUUGUUGAAGGAUGUAUUUACUUUAUCGUAUUUCUAUUUUGACGAUAAAGUCUUGAUGAUUGAUAUACUUUGAUUUUCUUUUGAAUUUAAGCAAUGUACUCACGGUUAUAUGUCUUCAUACAUAUAAUCGGUUCACCUUUUGCUGCGAUACUCUGCAUAUUGUGAUUCCUGACGAAAAAUGAGCGAUACCCGUUUUGUCUUUGAUUUUGAAAUUCCUGAUAAUUAAAA